AGCUUGUUGGUGAGGUAACAGCUCACCAAGGCUACGAUGUCUAGGGGGUCUGAGAGGAUGGUCCCCCACACUGGUACUGAGACACGGACCAGACUCCUACGGGAGGCAGCAGUGAGGAAUAUUGGUCAAUGGGCGAAAGCCUGAACCAGCCAUGCCGCGUGAAGGAUGACAGCCCUAUGGGUUGUAAACUUCUUUUGUACGGGAAGAAACGCUUCUACGUGUAGAGGUUUGACGGUACCGUACGAAUAAGCAUCGGCUAACUCCGUGCCAGCAGCCGCGGUAAUACGGAGGAUGCAAGCGUUAUCCGGAUUUAUUGGGUUUAAAGGGUACGUAGGCGGGAGCUUAAGUCAGUGGUGAAAUCCUGCAGCUUAACUGUAGAACUGUCAUUGAUACUGGGCUUCUUGAAUGUAGUUGAGGUAGGCGGAAUGUGUAAUGUAGCGGUGAAAUGCUUAGAUAUUACACAGAACACCGAUUGCGAAGGCAGCUUACUAAACUACGAUUGACGCUGAGGUACGAAAGCGUGGGGAGCGAACAGGAUUAGAUACCCUGGUAGUCCACGCUGUAAACGAUGAUCACUCGUUGUUGGCAAUACACCGUCAGCGACUGAGCGAAAGCAUUAAGUGAUCCACCUGGGGAGUACGACCGCAAGGUUGAAACUCAAAGGAAUUGACGGGGGCCCGCACAAGCGGAGGAACAUGUGGUUUAAUUCGAUGAUACGCGAGGAACCUUACCUGGGCUUAAAUGUAGAACGACGGACCGGGAAACUGGUCUUUCUUCGGACGGUCUGCAAGGUGCUGCAUGGCUGUCGUCAGCUCGUGCCGUGAGGUGUCGGGUUAAGUCCCAUAACGAGCGCAACCCUCAUCAUUAGUUGCCAGCGGGUAAUGCCGGGGACUCUAAUGAAACUGCCGGUGUAAACCGAGAGGAAGGUGGGGAUGACGUCAAGUCAGCACGGCCCUUAUGUCCAGGGCUACACACGUGUUACAAUGGUCGGUACAAAGGGCAGCUACCUGGCGACAGGAUGCUAAUCUCGAAAACCGAUCUCAGUUCGGAUCGAAGUCUGCAACUCGACUUCGUGAAGCUGGAUUCGCUAGUAAUCGCGCAUCAGCCAUGGCGCGGUGAA
rnacentral:rRNA from 1 species